rnacentral:rRNA from 1 species
ACUCCGGCGAAACCGGGGCUAAUACCGGAUGCUUGUUUGAACCGCAUGGUUCAAACAUAAAAGGUGGCUUCGGCUNACCACUUACAGAUGGACCCGCGGCGCNAUUAGCUAGUUNGGUGAGGUAACGGCUCACCAAGGCAACGAUGCGUAGCCGACCUGAGAGGGUGAUCGGCCACACUGGGACUGAGACACGGCCCAGACUCCUACGGGAGGCAGCAGUAGGGAAUCUUCCGCAAUGGACGAAAGUCUGACGGAGCAACGCCNGCGUGAGUGAUGAAGGUUUUCGGAUCGUAAAGCUCUGUUGUUAGGGAANGAACAAGUACCGUUCGAAUAGGGCGGUACCUUGACGGUACCUAACCAGAAAGCCUACGGCUAACUACGUGCCAGCAGCCGCGGUAAUACGUAGGUGGCAAGCGUUGUCCGGAAUUAUUGGGCGUAAAGGGCUCGCAGGCGGUUUCUUAAGUCUGAUGUGAAAGCCCCCGGCUCAACCGGGGAGGGUCAUUGGAAACUGGGGAACUUGAGUGCAGAAGAGGAGAGUGGAAUUCCACGUGUAGCGGUGAANAUGCGUAGAGAUGUGGAGGAACACCAGUGGCGAAGGCGACUCUCUGGUCUGUAACUGACGCUGAGGAGCGAAAGCGUGGGNGAGCGAACAGGAUUAGAUACCCUGGUAGUCCACGCCGUAAACGAUGAGUGCUAAGUGUUAGGGGGUUUCCGCCCCUUAGUGCUGCAGCUAACGCAUUAAGCACUCCGCCUGGGGAGUACGGUCGCA